AUUCUUUGCAUGUCUCAUGGCUGGUUUUGAGAUUGCUGGUUUAAAGAAACAAUUGACACAAGUAGUUUAUGGAAACAAUUGUGGUUUUAUUAUUUCUUUCCCAGUGUUUUUUCAUUUGUCAAGUUUUUCUCUCUCUCUCCCCCCUCUCGUACGCUCUCACUCUUUCUCCUCACACUUUCAUCUCUCUUUCUCCUCCCCAUCUCAUCCUUCACCAUAACAUCCACACCACAACCUCCACCACCAUCUACAAAUCAAUCACUCGUAAGAGUGAGGGAGUGGCCGAGUGAGAGAAGCCGGCGGGAGAGAAGUUCUGGCGAGGAGGAGGAGUUCCGGCCGAGAGAGUUCUUGUGGCCGUUUGUGGUGACACGGCGGUGCUUGGCAACGGCGGCAUGAAGCUUCUUGCUCCUUCUUUCUCCUGGUUCGAUCUCAAAUUGCUCCAUAGAAGGAUAAGGCUCCUCCAUAGAAAAAUCACUAUGACCACAAUUUCAGAAAGAGAUGAAUGAUGGUUGGGUUGGUUUGGAAAAGGCACCUGAUGGAUCUUUCAAGAAGAAGAUUCUGGAUUAGGGGUAUGGCUUUUGUCUAGGGUUAAGCCAUCAGAGAUUUUUUUGAAAUCUAUAUCAAAGGAAGUUACUGGUGUUGAAGUCAUUUACCCAUCAAGGGUAAGGGAAUGGGUAUUUUCCGUAAGAGAAGGAACAAUUGUGAAACAGUACCAAGUAGAUAAGUAAGGUAUUGGAUGCCACCCUUGAAGAUUUGGAGUUUUCUAAUAAACACUGAAAGGAGAAGGAACUUUCAUAUAGGUCUAUCCAAAUCUCAACUUGAUCUAUGCUGUUCAUGUUUCCUUACUUCUUUUUCGUCCUUGCUCUACUUUUGCAAAUUGUGUCAAUAUUUCAGAUAUUACAUGCCUUUCCUAAUACAUUUGUUCAUCUUUUUAUUUUGAUUAUUACUUUUAUUAUAUCAUUGUAUAGGACUGUAGUAUGAGCAUGUAGGUCUAUCAUUUGUUCACCUUGCUAAAUUUGGUUGUAUCCAUAGUUAAUGCUCCUACAUUGAUGAAUGGCUUCUGAUGACUACAUAGUGAGGGACAUACUAUGUGGACAGAUACGGGUCAAACAAUUGAACAUAAUACUGUGUUUCUCUAUAUAAAUACUAAUAGAGCAGUCAUAAGUCAGAUGUUAUUCAUUUUGUACAUGUUAUUUCCUCUCUUUUUUCCCUGUCAAUUCUCUUAUUUAUGAGGCAGCUAUAAAAUUUAUCAUUAUUCUAUUUAUUUAUUUUUUUAUUUUUAGAGUUGUGGUCAUGAGUUGAAGAAGCAAGAUCUCAUUUCAUCUAUUCUUUCUACAAAUGCCGGAUUAUGGACACAUCUAUCAACUAUGAUUUUGGAUAGAACUGGUUUAUGUAUCAAGAUUUCUUCAAAAGCUGAAUGUAAGGUCUUGGAUGCCACCCUUGAAGAUUUGGAGUAAGUGUGUUUAUCUAACUCAGUGCACUUUAUUCAAUCAUUUUUUGUAGUGUACUUAUCCACUUGGUUGUUUUUACAUUGAGAUUUUGAUAAUUUCCGAUUUUGUAGUUUUUUUUUUAGUGUAGGUUUUGAUAUGUGAUUUCUUGAAUCCAUCAUGGGACAAGAGUGAGUAACAUGAAAUUUGAUUUGAGGGUAGUUUUGAUUCAGUUUCAAUUAUUGCUUUUGACAGUGUCGCUUCUACCGUCAAGUCUGCAGUUGAUAUUCAAACACCGGGUGAUCUUAUAACUCUUACUGCUGCAGCUGCAACAGAAAUGUUGUUGUUUCGUUUUGGCGUGGGCCUGUGAUUUUGAUAUGGAUGCCGGUUGGUUUUACCAGAUUUGCACUAGGUGUGCUUCCAGGAUCAAUUUUAUUGCAGGACAACUCUAUUGUGACAAGUGCAAAAUGCCACAAACUACGGUACCUAGGCUUGCACCAAAUGUGCAUCCAAAAUUAAUUUCAUUGGAGGCCAGUUUUACUGUGAAAAAUGCAGGAUGCCAAGAACUGCUAUACCUAGGUUUUCAGGAAGAACUGCACAAGACUUGCUUGAUGCAGCAUUUUGCAGAUAAAGGAUGGAUUUUGAUCUAGCUUGAAGGUUUUGAUCAUCUGUUAUAAGAGUUAUACCGAGACAAUUGAUACAUAGGAAUUACGGUUAUACCUGAGGAACUUGAUUAGUCAUUUUUGUUGAACAACCGUCAACCAACCAGCAACAACCAAAAAACGCACUCACGGAGAUAGCAAAAAAGUGCAAAUUUUGAGGUAACGAGAAAUACAAACGAGAGUUUAAAGAUGGUAAAGGUAAAUUUAAAAUUGAAUCAUAUUCGAUUACACCUCUGAUAUGUCUAUUUUGUUCUUAUAAAGUAAAAAUUUGAGUAUGAAUUCUUUUUGGGAGUUGCAACCCUAAGUAGAGAACAUUUCUUAGUUUUAUUCUAUCAUUUUGUUAUGUGCUUAGAGCCUCUAAGCACAUACUGCUUUUAUUAUUAAAUAAAAUCCUUUCCAAGAACCAUAUCCUAGACCUGUCCAUUCCAAGAACCUGUCUAUUCUAUACCACACCAGAUUUGAAUUCAACCUUCAAAAAAUAGAAAUAGAAUUCAACCUUAAAAGGUCAUAAUUAAUAGUAUUAUAGUAAUAAUAAGUGAUUCAACUUUAUUACUGGAUCACACUAUUAUCAAAGAAUACUGGCCAGAUUUGGUUUUCUCUAAACAUUGGGCUGCCUCACACCUGUACCCUCUUUUUGGUCAUGCUCAUGUAACAAUUUACUUAGGAGUACAGUAAUAAAAUUUUAGAUAUACUGAACCAUAAAAUUUAGAUAUACUGAAGCUAUAGACCAAUUCAUUCAUGCUUAGGUCAGGUCCAGCAUAACAAAUGAGUCCAAAGCUGAUCCAAAGAUGAAUCCAAUACCAUGAAAUACAGUGGAUAAAGUGUUUUAGGAAGUUAUUGAUUCUUUUGAUUUCUUCUCUUUUAUAUUUUGGUAUUCUUUAAACACUAUCAAUUAUCUUUUAUGUGAUUUCAUCAUCAUCCCUUGAGGAAGUUUUCUUUCCCAAAAACAAAGAUGAAAAAACGAUCAAAAGCAGGUAAGAAAACUCAUUUUGUUUUUCUUGGUAAACAUGAUUACAGAAUGUCUGCUGUAUAUAUUUAUCUGAAAUUCUGAAUUUUGAUGAAAUCAUAUAAUAUAGUCAAUUACUUGAAGAGUCAGUGACUGAAUUUUCCUUACUUAUUUCUCGAUUUCUUUCGGCAUACCUGGCAACGGGAAUGAAUGAACAUGUAGUACACACAACAACGGCAGCAGAAUCUGCUUCACCAAUUGGAGCUAUAGGUGGUGCUGCUGAGUAAAGGAAAUAGACUAUAGGCGCUUUCGUAUGCUUUGAGUCUGUAUUAGGUGGUAGUUUAAUUAGUGUAAAUGAGAAUGUUAGCAAGUGAAGCUAUGGCUUUGAAGAGAUAUUAGUAGUUUAUUUAGAAGGAGCUUUAUCUUUGCAUAAGGAUUGACUAUUAACAGUAUUUUAUGGCCUACUCUUGACUUGUGUUGGUGUACUUUGGUCACUAGGAUGUACUUUUUAAUGUAUUGGUGUCUUUGUUUGAAAUAUUUGGUACUCUCUUAAUGAAAUGUAUCCAAUCUUCGGCUAA